GGCAUACGCCCUACGGGGGGAAAGAUUUAUCCGGGGGAAGGAUUGGCCCGCGUUGGAUUAGCUAGUUGGGUGGGGGUAAAGGCCCUACCAAGGCGACGAUCCAUAGCUGGUCUGAGAGGAUGAUCAGCCACAUUGGGACUGAGACACGGCCCAAACUCCUACGGGAGGCAGCAGUGGGGAAUAUUGGACAAUGGCCCCAAGCCUGAUCCAGCCAUGCCGCGUGAGUGAUGAAGGCCUUAGGGUUGUAAAGCUCUUUCACCGGAGAAGAUAAUGACGGUAUCCGGAGAAGAAGCCCCGGCUAACUUCGUGCCAGCAGCCGCGGUAAUACGAAGGGGGCUAGCGUUGUUCGGAAUUACUGGGCGUAAAGCGCACGUAGGCGGAUAUUUAAGUCAGGGGUGAAAUCCCAGAGCUCAACUCUGGAACUGCCUUUGAUACUGGGUAUCUUGAGUAUGGAAGAGGUAAGUGGAAUUCCGAGUGUAGAGGUGAAAUUCGUAGAUAUUCGGAGGAACACCAGUGGCGAAGGCGGCUUACUGGUCCAUUACUGACGCUGAGGUGCGAAAGCGUGGGGAGCAAACAGGAUUAGAUA
rnacentral:rRNA from 1 species